CCUACGGGAGGCAGCAGUGAGGAAUAUUGGUCAAUGGACGAGAGUCUGAACCAGCCAAGUAGCGUGAAGGAUGACUGCCCUAUGGGUUGUAAACUUCUUUUAUAUGGGAAUAAAACGUUCCACGUGUGGGCUUUUGUAUGUACCAUAUGAAUAAGGAUCGGCUAACUCCGUGCCAGCAGCCGCGGUAAUACGGAGGGUCCGAGCGUUAUCCGGAUUUAUUGGGUUUAAAGGGAGCGUAGGUGGAUUGUUAAGUCAGUUGUGAAAGUUUGCGGCUCAACCGUAAAAUUGCAGUUGAAACUGGCAGUCUUGAGUACAGUAGAGGUGGGCGGAAUUCGUGGUGUAGCGGUGAAAUGCUUAGAUAUCACGAAGAACUCCGAUUGCGAAGGCAGCUCACUGGACUGCAACUGACACAGAGGCUCGAAAGUGUGGGUAUCAAACAGGAUUAGAUACCCUUGUAGUC
rnacentral:rRNA from 1 species